rnacentral:misc_RNA from 1 species
CAACCCUCAGGGCCCCUUCAGGGGGCGCUGGUGUUGGGGACCGGCUGCCCGCAACGGCACCCGGCCCUGAAAUACAGUGGCGGCCCCAUCGCGAGCUCCCCUGCGCAGUAGUGAUACCUCGCAGCCGGACGGCGGUGCGGCCACGCCGUGAAACCCCUACUUCUCAAGG